AUUAGUUAGUUGGUGAGGUAACGGCUCACCAAGACCGCGAUGGGUAGCCGGCCUGAGAGGGUGAACGGCCACACUGGAACUGAGACACGGUCCAGACUCCUACGGGAGGCAGCAGUGGGGAAUAUUGCACAAUGGAGGAAACUCUGAUGCAGCGACACCGCGUGAACGAUGAAGGCCUUCGGGUCGUAAAGUUCUGUCCUAGGGGACGAUAAUGACGGUACCCUAGGAGGAAGCCCCGGCUAACUACGUGCCAGCAGCCGCGGUAAUACGUAGGGGGCGAGCGUUGUCCGGAAUUAUUGGGCGUAAAGGGUUCGCAGGCGGUUUUUUAAGUCAGGUGUGAAAGCCAUAGGCUCAACCUAUGUAAGCACUUGAAACUGGAAGACUUGAGUUAAGGAGAGGAAAGUGGAAUUCCUAGUGUAGCGGUGAAAUGCGUAGAUAUUAGGAGGAAUACCAGUGGCGAAGGCGACUUUCUGGACUUAUACUGACGCUGAGGAACGAAAGCGUGGGGAGCAAACAGGAUUAGAUACCCUGGUAGUCCACGCCGUAAACGAUGAGUGCUAGGUGUUGGGGGUCAAACCUCGGUGCCGCAGCUAACGCAUUA
rnacentral:rRNA from 1 species